ACGAACGCUGGCGGCGUGCUUAACCCCUGCCAGUCGCACGGAAAGGCCCUGCUUUUGUGGGGUGCUCGAGUGGCGAACGGGUGAGUAACACGUGAGUAACCUGCCCUUGACUUUGGGAUAACUUCAGGAAACUGGGGCUAAUACCGGAUAGGAGCUCCUGCUGCAUGGUGGGGGUUGGAAAGUUUCGGCGGUUGGGGAUGGACUCGCGGCUUAUCAGCUUGUUGGUGGGGUAGUGGCUUACCAAGGCUUUGACGGGUAGCCGGCCUGAGAGGGUGACCGGCCACAUUGGGACUGAGAUACGUCCCAGACUCCUACGGGAGGCAGCAGUGGGGAAUAUUGCACAAUGGGCGGAAGCCUGAUGCAGCAACGCCGCGUGCGGGAUGACGGCCUUCGGGUUGUAAACCGCUUUCGCCUGUGACGAAGCGUGAGUGACGGUAAUGGGUAAAGAAGCACCGGCUAACUACGUG
rnacentral:rRNA from 1 species